CCGAGUGAGGGCCUCCGGCCCGACCUCCAACCCUUUGUCGAUCAAAACCACGUUGCCUCGGGGGUGACCCGGCGUCCAACGUUGGGGCCCCCGGUGGACCACACAAAACUCUGCGUCUCUGCGUCUGAGUCUGAAGCAAAUCAAUCA
rnacentral:misc_RNA from 1 species